rnacentral:tRNA from 1 species
GCUUGAGUGGUGGAAUUGGCAGACACAACGGACUUAAAAUCCGUUGGCUUAACAGCCGUGCGGGUUCAAGUCCCGCCUCGAGCA